rnacentral:tRNA from 1 species
UCCCUGGUGGCUGAGUGGUAAAGAAUCCGCCUGCAGUGCAGAAGACUUAGGUUCGAUCCCUGGGUAGGGCA